CAGCGUUGUGCCGAUGCGUCCUUUCCGUCUAAACAGCCAAGAUGAGAGUCGGGCUUUGCAUAUUCAGCGGGUUCAAGAUAUACCCAGGCCAUGGGAAGACCGCCGUGAAGGCCGACGGCAAGACCUACACCUUCAU